GCCGGGCAUGGUGGCGCAUGACUAUAUUCCCAACUACUCGGGAGGCUGAGGUGGGAGGAUCGCUUGAGCCCAGGAGUUCUGGGCUGUAAUGCGCUAUGCCGAUCGGGUGUCUGUACUAAGUUCGGCAUCAAUAUGGUGACCUUCUGGGAGCAGGGAACCACCAGGUUGCCUAAGGAGUGGUGAACUGGCCCAGGUCGGAAAUGUAGCAGGUCAAAACUCCUGUACUGAUCAGUAGUGAGAUCACACCUGUGAAUAGCCGCUGUUCUCCAGCCUGGGCAACAUAGCGAGACCUCGUCUCA
rnacentral:SRP_RNA from 1 species